AUUGAACGCUGGCGGCAGGCCUAACACAUGCAAGUCGAGCGGUGCGGCGGACGGGUGAGUAAUGCCUAGGAAUCUGCCUGGUAGUGGGGGAUAACGUCCGGAAAGGUGCCCACAUCCCGCAUACUCUCAGAUGAGCCUAGGUCGGCUUAGCUAGUUGGUGGGGUAAAGGCGUACCAAGGCGACGAUCCGUAACUGGUCUGAGAGGAUGAUCAGUCACACUGGAACUGAGACACGGGCCAGACUCCUACGGGAGGCAGCAGUGGGGAAUAUUGGACAAUGGGCGAAAGCCGGAUCCAGCCAUGCCGCGUGUGUGAAGAAGGUCUUCGGAUUGUAAAGCACUUUAAGUUGGGAGGCGUUACCAACAGAAUAAGCACCGGCUAACUUCGUGCCAGCAGCCGCGGUAAUUC
rnacentral:rRNA from 1 species